AAUAGCCUAAAAACUAGGUUGUGCCUCUAUAUAAACAACAUAAUGGGAAACUAAAUCGACCGGAAGUACAACAAUAGGAGAAAAAGAAUAGUGUGUACCCCCUCCCCAUGGCGCUUCUCAAGAACAACCCAGGGGUUUUGUGCUUGGCGGCCCUUCUUGUGAUAUCCGCCACCUUCUUAUCAUGUAAUGCAUCCUACGGGAUCAGAGGCUGCAAGGACCCGGUGAAUGGAAUCCCUAGUCAGUGUCAGAUUUACUGCAGAGAUAACGGUUUUGUCUUAGAGAAAGGCAAAUGUGCACCGGACAGUGGAAAGCCCAACCGCAUGUGCUGCUGCUAUAAGUAGACACUUGCGUGUGAAUUCGUGGAAGAGUGCAAAACUUUUUCUGUAUGAGAGAUCUCAAAAAAUAAAUUAAUAAAACAUUGUUUGAUCUAUGUCUA